CCAUGUGUAUCAGCACUGAAGCAACGGAUUCCAUCAGAACUCCGAAGUUAAGCGUGCUUGGGUGAGAGUAGUACUAGGAUGGGUGACCUCCUGGGAAAUCCUCGUGUUGCAUCCC
rnacentral:rRNA from 1 species